UCCAAGAUCAUGGCACAUACUGUCCACUUAGUCCCAUCAAACCUGGUGGAUUUGUCCAUUGGUAUUUCAUACACCAUCAUCAAAUCCAAAAGCAUGUGUACCAAGCGAAUUUCUAAUCUGUCUUAUAUAACACUUCACUCUACUGGAUGUGGGAUUUGCCUAAGGAAUCAUGUACAUCCAUCCUUCGAAAGCUGGCCAACCUAAACACCAUCUAGUCCUUCUCUCGACCCUCCCGCUCCCUCCUACAAAUCAGCCCGUGCUUUGUGAUCAGUGAGACAAAUAAGUAGCUUAUCAAUGAGGUAUAUUAUAUGCUUAUCUAAAAUGUAAAAUAUUGCUGAUUAGUAAGGAAAAACUUGUAAAUUGGCAAAAUCUCUCAACCAUAGGUUUUUAUAACCGACCUUGCCAUUGCAUGCUAUUUUAUAUGAUUCCAUAUAUCCUACAAAGGUUCUUACCAUCUUUGGGUUCUAAUUUAACCUUGCAACCUGCAAGAAUUUGAUGAAUUGUAGGUUCUUACCAUCUUUGGGUUCUAAUUUGACCUUGCAACCUGCAAGAAUUUGAUGAAUUUAGACGAUAGGAUAGUUUAAUAAUUAGGUAAGUCCAAGCAAUUGACUGCAUUAUGCAAUAAUUCUAUGUUGCUCGGACUCUCCAAAAAUGUCUAUAGAUCCAUCUCGGAUUCUCAAAAAGUAGUGUCAUUUUGAAGAAUCUGAAACGAGUGCGACAUCGGAAGUGAAGAGUCUGCAACUUAGCAAUCAUUCUAAAGUUACCUGAACUAUAGGAUACACUAAGUUGCAUGGACUCGGGUGCGGGUAUCCGAGACGGGUGCAGAUCUGAGAGUCGGAUUCGUCAAAUUUAAUUUUUAAGAUUCGAG
rnacentral:lncRNA from 1 species